GCCUGGCUGGCUCAGUUGGUAGAGCAUGUGACUCUUAAUCUUGGGGUCAUGAGUUUGAGCCCAUGUUGAGUG
rnacentral:tRNA from 1 species